rnacentral:tRNA from 1 species
GUUCCCGUAGUUUAAGCUUGGUAACGGCAGCUUUUCGAGCUGUAGGUCUCGGAGAAAGGCCGAGCGGGAAUU